UGGCGAUUGGGUAGUUAUAUUAUUGUGGUGAGUGUUAAUUUGGUUGGGACUUAGGGUAGAAAUUGACAGAAGAGAGUGAGCACACAGAGGCACUUGCCAUAAAGCGUAUGCCAUUGCUUUUGCGUGCUCAUGUCUCUUUCUGUCAGCUUCCCCAUUUCCACUGCCGGAUUAAUAUUAAGUUGUUCAUUUUUAAUUUCCUUCUCAUCCCCA